rnacentral:rRNA from 1 species
AGUUUGAUCCUGGCUCAGGAUGAACGCUGGCGGUGUGCCUUAGGCAUGCAAGUCGAACGGUCCGAUUUAUCGGAUAGUGGCAGACGGGUGAGUAACGCGUAGGAAUCUACCCUUUGGUGGGGAAUAACCAUUCGAAAGAGUGGCUAAUACCGCAUAAGAUCUUCGGAUGAAAGCGAGUAACUUCGCGCCGAUGGAGGAGCCUGCGUGCUAUCAGCUUGUUGGUGGGGUAAUGGCCUACCAAGGCGAUGACGGCUAGGGGGUGUGAGAGCAUGACCCCCCACAAGGUCACUGAAACACGGGGCCUACAUCUACGGAUGGCAGCAACCGGGAAUAUUGCGCAAUGGGGGAAACCCUGACGCAGCGACACCGCGUGUGGGAAGAAUGUCUUCGGAUUGUAAACCACUGUGGCGAGGGAAGAAGUUCUGACGGUACCUCGCUAGAAAGCACCUGCUAACUACGUGCCAGAAGCCUCGGUAAUACGUAGGGUGCAAGCGUUAUCCGGAUUUAUUGGGCGUAAAGGGUCCGUAGGCGGAAAGAUGCGUGGCGGGUUAAAGCCCACGGCUCAACUGUGGAAUCGCUCGUCAUACGGUCUUUCUAGAGUAUGUUAGGGGAAGCUGGAAUUCUCGGUGGAGGGGUGAAAUCCGUUGAUGUCGAGAGGAACGCCAAGGGCGAAGGCAGGCUUCUGGGACAUUACUGACGCUAAGGGACGAAAGCUAGGGUAGCAAAAGGGAUUAGAGACCCCUGUAGUCCUAGCCGUAAACGCUGGAUACUAGCUGAGCAUCUUUUGAUGUUUGGCGUAAGCUAACGCGUUAAGUAUCCCGCCUGGGUAGUACGACCGCAAGGUUAAAACUCAAAGGAAUUGACGGGGGAGCGCACAACCGGUGGAGCAUGUGGUUUAAUUCGAAACAAAGCGUAGGACCUUACCUGGGUUUGACAUGUACCUGCACACUCUGUGAAAGCAGGGUUUCUUCGAGAGUGGUACACAGGUGCUGCAUGGCUGUCGUCAGCUCGUGUCGUGAGAUGUCGGCUUAAGUGCCGUAACGAGCGCAACCCUUAUCGUAUGUUGAAUGUUCAUACGAGACUGCCUUACAGCAAGUAGGGAGGAAGGAGAGGAUGACGUCAAGUCAGCAUGGCCCUUACAUCCAGGGCUACACACAUCCUACAAUGGCCAGUACAACGGGUCGCGACGGGGUAACCCUGAGCUAAUCCUUAUAAAACUGGUCUCAGUUCAGAUUGAGGGCUGCAAUUCGCCCUCAUGAAGUUGGAAUCGGUAGUAAUCGCAGGUCAGCAGACUGCGGUGAAUACGUUCUCGCUCCUUGUACACACUGCCCGUCAAGCCAGCAAAGUUGGCAGCGCCCGAAGUCUCAAUUUAUUGGGCCUAAGGCGAGGUCAGCGAUGAGGACUAAGUCGUAACAAGGUAACC